AGGAAUAUUUUCACCAUAGGAUUAUUUUCACCACAAGGUGGCGUUUAAUUGGAAUAACGCAAUAGUUCACAUAGAACACUGUGCAUAAAACAAUUUAGUGCCUCCAGUUUAAGAGCUCUGAAUUCCUUAUUACGGACAAACAGGAUUUGCACACUUCCACUUUAAGAAGGGGGGGUGCAUUUAUGCAAGGGGAAGUCUGCUCUUAAGAAACAUUGCUUAAUGAAACCAUUCAAAAAAAAUGACUUCAAUGUUCAUACCUGGCUUCAGGAAAUGAGAGGAGAUUUUGCCUGGAUUGUACUAUAGAUCUGUUCUAAAGUGAAAGGAUCGCAGCUACAAUGUACCAGAGGCUACCGAGCAGUCACUUCCUACCCUGACUGUGUAUGUGCUGCACCAGGAAGCUGCCGGCAGCUGCUCAUCUGACAACACAAGCUGCUGUUGCUACUGUCUUUAUCAGCUCUUUGGGUGACAUGGCUGAAUUGUGAGGGAUGACACGUUAGCUGCUGCCCAUAAUACCAUGGCUGCAAAGGAAGAGCUCUACACCCAGAUUAUCCCCAGGAAAAUCAGACAGCACCGAGCAGGGACCAUUAAGCAUGGAUCAUCACUGGAAGUCCUGCUCUCCAUGGGAUUCCCAAAAACAAGGGCACAAAAAGCUUUAGCAUCCACAGGUGGAAGAAGUGUACAAGCUGCAUGUGACUGGUUGUUUUCUCAUGUAGAUGAUCCAUUUCUAGAUGACCCUCUGCCACGGGAAUAUGUAUUAUAUUUGCGGCCUACUGGUCCUUUAGCACAAAAACUUUCGGACUUCUGGCAACAAUCAAAGCAGAUGUGUGGAAAAAACAAAGCACACAACAUAUUUCCACACAUAACACUCUGCCAGUUUUUUAUGUGUGAAGAUAGUAAAGUAGACGCACUUUGUGAAGCUUUGCAGACCACUGUUUCCCGAUGGAAAUCAAAAUUCCCGAAUCCCCUGCCUUUGGAACUGUACAUCUCUUCCAAUUUCAUUGGCCUAUUUGUUAAAGAUGAUUGCGCUGAGAUCUUGAAGAUAUUUGCAGCAGAUUUUGCAGCAGAUGCAUUAGUGAAGACUGAGGUGAGGGUGGAACCUCACAAGAAGCAGUUGCAUGUGACUCUGGCGUACCACUUCCUAGACAGCCACUUGCCCACGCUGGAGAAACUUGCACACAGUAUAGACAUAAACCUGGGCUGUGACUGGGUGGCUGCAAUAUUCUCCCGAGACAUACGGUUUGUCAAUCAUGAGACUCUUCAAGUGUUAUACCCAUAUUUACCUCAGAAUGAUGAUGAAUUAGAGCUGGUUCCUGGAGAUUAUAUAUUUAUGUCCCCAGUAGAACAGACAAGCACUAGUGAAGGCUGGAUUUAUGGAAGUUCACUUGCAACUGGAUGUUCUGGGCUAUUGCCUGAAAACUAUAUCACAAAAGCUGAUGAAUGUGGUACAUGGGUAUUUCAUGGAUCCUAUUCACUUCUUGAUACUUCCCUGUCCACCACAUGUUCUCUUGGAGAUCGAGGGAUGGAGAGAAGACAACAGGAGGAUCCUGGCCUGGGAGAUACAUCAGCACUUACAAUAAUAUGUCAGCCUAUGCAGCCUCUGAGAGUAAACAGUCAAACUGACACUGGUCCCAAGAAGCGUUGUCUCUUUGUCUGUCGCCAUGGUGAAAGGAUGGAUGUUGUUUUUGGAAAGUACUGGCUGUCACAAUGCUUUGAUACAAAAGGAAGGUAUGUACGAACAAACUUGAACAUGCUCCCGAGCUUACCCCAGAGAAGCGGGGGCUACAGAGAGUAUGAGAAAGAUGCUCCAAUAACUGUGUUUGGAUGCACACAAGCACAACUUGUUGGUGAAGCUUUGCUGGAAAGUAACACCACUGUCGACUUUGUCUAUUGCUCCCCAUCUCUGCGCUGUGUCCAGACAGCACACAACAUUCUAAAAGGUCUUAAACAAGAGAAUAAAGGAAAAAUCCGUAUAGAACCGGCCUUGUUUGAGUGGACCAAGUGGGUAUCAGGAAACACUCUUCCUUCCUGGUUUUCCCCAACAGAAUUAGCAGCAGCCAACUUAAGUGUUGAUACAACAUACAGACCUCAUAUACCAGUCAGCAAAUUAGUGGUUUCUGAAACAUAUGAUACAUAUAUGAGCAGGAGCUUCCAGGUUACCAAGGAUAUUCUGAGUGAUUGUAAAGGCAAAGGAAAAAAUGUUCUGAUUGUAGCACAUGCCUCUUCUCUGGAAGCAUGCACGCGCCAGCUCCAAGCCCUGACACCACAGAACUCGAAGGACUUUGUGCAGGUGGUUCGAAAGAUUCCAUACUUGGGACUUUGUUGCUGCGAGGAGCUUGGAGAUUCGGGCCUGUGGCAAUUAACUGACCCCCCUAUCCUCCCGCUGACUCAUGGACCAACAGGCGGCUUUAACUGGAGAGAGGCAUUGCUACAAGAAUAAGCAAAACAAAUGGAUGCCCUCUAUAACAGAAAACAUAUCUUACCUUACAUAAAUGUUAAAAUAUGUCUCCUCAAAAUGCAAAUACAAGCAAAGGGUUGGAAGUGUAGUCCAAACACAAUACUUUUUGUUGAAGAUUGGUAUUUAUGAAAAAAAAAAUGUAAAUUAAACAAACAAAUGUAUUCCUGCCAACAAUGGGCUGGAACCCAUUCAGAAAAAGCAGGCUUGUUACCCAACUGCCAAAGUUUCCUUGUUUUCUAUUCUUAACUGUAUCUUGAUGAUGCAAAUAUAUAAUCUGCCAUAACUAAAUCAUGGUAGAGAUAUAUGUUCUACAGAAGCCUGCUCCUCUAUGGGGAGUCUCAUAAUUGUGCUUAGUUAAAUAAUUUAAUGCAGAGUAUUAUGCAAUAUAUUUUUCUUUAAGUAAGUUUGGUAAAUAAAACCAUUUAAAAGCCAGACAAUCAAACCAAAAAAUUGCUAUUUUUUGUUAAUGUUGUGAGGAAAAGCCUAAGUGGCAUGUUUGAUGUGUCUUAUGGAUAUUAUUAUCUAUUCAUAACUAUAUACUGUAUGUGCAAGCUGUAAAAAUAUGAUCGGUCAUGGCUGGAUCUAUCUUUGCCAGUGUAAAGUUACAGGUUUAAAAGAGGUUACUUUUCACAAAAAUACAUACUUAGGUCAGUGCGACACCAGGCAGGCAGAGAAAAGGCUAGUCUCAUCCACCGAGAAGAUCUCGGCCUAAAAAAGAAGGGCGGAUGGGAGAAGAUUGGCCUUUUCUUUGUUUCUAUGCAAAUCAAAUUGCAAAUUUUUCAACGAAUCUUAUAAAAUUCAUGGUUUUCUUGUAUUUCUAAAAAGCUCUACAAAU